rnacentral:rRNA from 1 species
GAUGAACGCUGGCGGCGUGCCUAAUACAUGCAAGUCGAGCGAACGGACGAGAAGCUUGCUUCUCUGAUGUUAGCGGCGGACGUGUGAGUAACACGUGUAUAACCUACCUAUAAGACUGGGAUAACUUCGGGAAACCGUAGCUAAUACCGUAUAAUAUUUUGAACCGCAUGGUUCAAAAGUGAGAGACGGUCUUUCUGGCACUUAUAGAUGGAUCCGCGCUGCAUUAGAUAGUUGGUAAGGUAACGGCCUACCAAGGCAACGAUGCAUAGCCGACCUGAGAGGGUGAUAGGCCACACGGGAACUGAAACACGGUCAAGACGACUACGGGAGGGAGCAGUCGGCAAUGUUACGCAGUGGGCGGGAGCAUUACGGAGCAACGCGGCGUGAGUGAUGACGGUGUUCGGAUCGUGAAGCUGUGUUACGAGGGAAGAACAUAUGUGUCAGUAAAUGUGCAGAUCUUGACGGUACCUAAUAAGAAAGCAACGGCUAACUACGUG